rnacentral:rRNA from 1 species
AUGCCUUCAAGAAGGGAAUAUCGUAAAACAACGCCGCCACCGCUGGCUUUGGCAGUAAGCCGAAAGCAAGUUUUCACUCGGAUCUGUUCGAAGGACCUCCAUCAAGCAUCUCAUGCACAGAUCGCCGCCAUCUCUGCCGGGGACUGGACGAUGGAUCCAAGCCGCCGCCGCCUGAUCGGCCACGGCACCACCACGGUGCCUAAGCCGGCGCCAUCAGGCCCACCAUGCCCGCCUGUAGACGCCCUCCAGAUCUGCCGGCCCACGGAAGCCCAUUUGGGCAAGGCGAGGCCCGCGACCUGUGCCGCCGCCACAGGUGCUCCUCAGCCGCGGGAAGAACGUGUCUGCGCAGUCGUUCCUGUUACACUCGCCGCCGGGCGCCCGCUGCUCCUUGCCGCCGGUGCACCGCCGAGCCAUGAGUCGCCGCCGCCGAUAGAAUAUCACCACCACCGCGCGAGGGGGAGGCCCCCGCCGCCGCCGUCACUGGCUAGGCUACGUUGGCGUGGCCUCGGGCGGCGGCAGGAGGGGGGAGACUAG